GAUGAACGCUGGCGGCGUGCUUAACACGUGCAAGUCGAACGAAGCACUUUAACCUGAUUCUUCGGAUGAAGGUUUUUGUGACUGAGUGGCGGACGGGUGAGUAACGCGUGGGUAACCUGCCUCAUACAGGGGGAUAACAGUUAGAAAUGACUGCUAAUACCGCAUAAGACCACAGAGCCGCAUGGCUCGGUGGGAAAAACUCCGGUGGUAUGAGAUGGACCCGCGUCUGAUUAGGUAGUUGGUGGGGUAACGGCCUACCAAGCCAACGAUCAGUAGCCGACCUGAGAGGGUGACCGGCCACAUUGGGACUGAGACACGGCCCAAACUCCUACGGGAGGCAGCAGUGGGGAAUAUUGCACAAUGGGGGAAACCCUGAUGCAGCGACGCCGCGUGAGCGAAGAAGUAUUUCGGUAUGUAAAGCUCUAUCAGCAGGGAAGAAAAUGACGGUACCUGACUAAGAAGCACCGGCUAAAUACGUG
rnacentral:rRNA from 1 species